GAUUUGACAAGGUGACCAUCUGUUUUCUCUUUCCCACUUAAUUACAAAAGGAAUGGUACUUGAAGCCCACCAAAAUACCCAGGGAGGAAUGGGAUUAUGACAUAUUCAUUUUCUCUGCAAAGUGCAAACCUAACACUUGCUCAUAUGGCCACAUUGAAGGGGAGCAGAAUUAGCACAUCUGCAACUGAUCUUCCACCACAGCUACUGGGACUGAAGUUAGUUAACCUGAAAACCUAAUGCCACUCAACGAAAGCCCAUUGAAGGGCACCCAAACCACUGGUAAAGCCUCCGUUUAGGAGAAACGAAUGCUCCAUUGGAUAACACCUUAUCUCACUGGCUUGCAUGAAAUCGUCUCCACUCAAGGUCUGAGUUUCUAUCGGCAGAGUUUGUUUGGUGAAAUAUGCUUGAAUCCAAGAGUACAGAAACAACCCCUUGUAAUGGAAAAUACAGAAGACUGGAAGUCGGAAUAUCUAGGUACCAGUUCCAGCCAGUGGAAUUACUCAUGAUCCUUUAAUUACACUGACCAAGACUUCAGAGGGCCUCUUUCUGGUGCUGUUAGCCAAAGCAGACUUACUGUGAGAAGAAACAGGGAAAGAAUAGACAUGCCAUGAGUGAACAAAAGCCUCUCAUUACUCCUCAGCAUUGUGGCCUGGGAAAACAGAUGCAUACUGCACUCUCUCUACAAUAAACGUAUAGCAUAUAACUACAAAUGAUGUGCUGUUUUAGUCCUUCCAGUGCCUAGAACUUGUGUUCUUGGUGUUGGGUCCACAUGACCCAACACCACUGAAAGUGAAGGGUGGGCAGGAGAAGGUAGGAAUUGAGCACCACUGAGAUCUCUUCGGUAGCUCUGAUCUUCCAACCCAUCUUCCUCUCCACUCCAACCAAAACACUUCUAACAGUCUUUAUGGGUGUUUUUACACUAAAACCAACAACAGAUCCCCAC
rnacentral:lncRNA from 1 species